GCCCUAUUAGCUCAAUUGGUCAGAGCGUUGGACUUUUAUGCGUCUUCUGCAAAAUGAGAUCCAAAGGCUGUGGGUUCGAGUCCCACAUGGGGCU